GCGAAACUGUAUCCUGAGCCAGAAGUCCAGGCUGUGCCUCCCCCACCCAGAGUGAUGGCCUCACGCAUGGAGCACGCAAGGAGCCAUGAGUUCUCCUAUCCACACUAAAGGCUCAUUUCACCCAGAAGCCUGUUGGAAGUUCCAGGAAGCUUCAGUCUCCCAUCUGAGAUGUAAUUCCAGCAGAAGCCCUUUCUCCACAAAUGAAGAUGUCACCAACUCUAAAGAUGAGAUAGUCUCAGUGGCAAGAUCAAUUUCCCACCUUAUUUUAGGAGCCCAGCAAGCAGGUGUUGCAUGCCACACCCCCUCAGCUACUUGAUCAGCAGGGAGACUCCUGUGUUCUGAUCUGUGCGCAUGGUCAGGCAAGUGGGCAGGUUUUGAUUACGCUACCUGAUACUAUUGGACAAAGUCAAGAUUCUCGUGGUUUUCCAUGGGACUGGAAGAUCUAUGUAACUGUUGUUGCAUGUUUUCUAAUUUUCAUGUUUUUGUGGAGAAUUUUUCAAUGUGUAAG